rnacentral:rRNA from 1 species
GAUGAACGCUGGCGGCGUGCCUAAUACAUGCAAGUCGAGCGAACAGACGAGGAGCUUGCUCCUCUGACGUUAGCGGCGGACGGGUGAGUAACACGUGGAUAACCUACCUAUAAGACUGGGAUAACUUCGGGAAACCGGAGCUAAUACCGGAUAAUAUAUUGAACCGCAUGGUUCAAUAGUGAACGACGGUUUUGCUGUCACUUAUAGAUGGAUCCGCGCCGCAUUAGCUAGUUGGUAAGGUAACGGCUUACCAAGGCAACGAUGCGUAGCCGACCUGAGAGGGUGAUCAGCCACACUGGAACUGAGACACGGUCCAGACUCCUACGGGAGGCAGCAGUAGGGAAUCUUCCGCAAUGGGCGAAAGCCUGACGGAGCAACGCCGCGUGAGUGAUGAAGGUCUUCGGAUCGUAAAACUCUGUUAUUAGGGAAGAACAAAUGUGUAAGUAACUAUGCACGUCUUGACGGUACCUAAUCAGAAAGCCACGGCUAACUACGUG